rnacentral:rRNA from 1 species
UACGUAGGGUGCGAGCGUUGUCCGGAAUUAUUGGGCGUAAAGAGCUCGUAGGCGGUGUGUCGCGUCGGUCGUGAAAACUUGGGGCUUAACCCUGAGCUUGCGGUCGAUACGGGCAUCACUGGAGUUCGGCAGGGGAGACUGGAAUUCCUGGUGUAGCGGUGAAAUGCGCAGAUAUCAGGAGGAACACCGGUGGCGAAGGCGGGUCUCUGGGCCGAUACUGACGCUGAGGAGCGAAAGCCAGGGGAUCAAACGGG